rnacentral:rRNA from 1 species
AGAGUUUGAUCCUGGCUCAGGACGAACGCUGGCGGCGUGCCUAACACAUGCAAGUCGAACGAGUCCACCCUUUCGGGGGUGAGGCGAGUGGCGGACGGGUGAGUAACACGUGAGCAAUCUGCCCCUGUGUGGGGGACAACCCGGGGAAACUCGGGCUAAUACCGCAUAGUCAGGCACCUCUUCUGGGGAGCCUGGGAAAGACGGCCUCUUUACAAUGCUGUCAUGCAGGGAGGAGCUCGCGGGCUAUCAGCUAGUUGGUAGGGUAACGGCCUACCAAGGCAACGAUGGGUAGCCGAUGUGAGAGCAUGAUCAGCCACACGGGCACUGAGACACGGGCCCGACUCCUACGGGAGGCAGCAGUGAGGAAUAUUGGUCAAUGGACGAAAGUCUGAACCAGCCAUGCCGCGUGAAGGAUGAAGGCGUUCUGCGUUGUAAACUUCUUUUAUCAGGGAAGAAAACUGGGUAUUCUUACUCAACCGACGGUACCUGAUGAAUAAGCACCGGCUAACUCCGUGCCAGCAGCCGCGGUAAUACGGAGGGUGCAAGCGUUAUCCGGAUUCACUGGGUUUAAAGGGUGUGUAGGCGGAUUUUUAAGUCAGUGGUGAAAUCUCCAGGCUCAACCUGGAAACUGCCAUUGAUACUAUUAGUCUUGAAUUCUGUUGAGGUGGGCGGAACACAUCAUGUAGCGGUGAAAUGCUUAGAUAUGAUGUAGAACACCGAUUGCGAAGGCAGCUCACUAAGCAGCGAUUGACGCUGAGGCACGAAAGCGUGGGGAUCAAACAGGAUUAGAUACCCCGGUAGUCC